GUGCCUCUAUUUUAUCUAUCUAUCUAUCUAUCUAUCUAUCUAUCUAUCUAUCUAUCUUACCAAACAAUGAUUCCCCAAAAAGGUCCAUAGAUGAUAGAUAGAUAGAUAGAUGAUAGAUAGAUAGAUGAUAGAUAGAUAGAUAGAUAAUC